rnacentral:rRNA from 1 species
AAUCAACGCUGGCGGCGUGCCUAACACAUGCAAGUCGAACGCGAAAGUCCCGCAAGGGAUCAGUAGAGUGGCAAACGGGUGAGUAACACGUGGGUGACCUGCCUUCGAGUGGGGAUAACGUCCCGAAAGGGACGCUAAUACCGCAUGACAUCCUGCUCUUGAACGAGUGGAGAUCAAAGCUGGGGAUCGCAAGACCUAGCGCUCAAAGAGGGGCCCGCGCCUGAUUAGCUAGUUGGUGGGGUAACGGCUCACCAAGGCAACGAUCAGUAUCCGGCCUGAGAGGGCGGACGGACACACUGGGACUGAGACACGGCCCAGACUCCUACGGAGGCAGCAGUGGGGAAUUGUUCGCAAUGGGCGCAAGCCUGACGACGCAACGCCGCGUGGAGGAUGAAGACCU